rnacentral:rRNA from 1 species
GCCAGCAGCCGCGGUAAGACGAACCGUGCGAACGUUGUUCGGAAUCACUGGGCUUAAAGGGCGCGUAGGCGGUCGGGCAAGUCCGGGGUGAAAUCCUGCAGCUUAACUGUAGAAGUGCCUUGGAUACUGCUCGGCUCGAGGGAGGUAGGGGUCUGUGGAACUUCUGGUGGAGCGGUGAAAUGCGUUGAUAUCAGAAGGAACGCCGGUGGCGAAAGCGGCAGACUGGACCUCUUCUAACGCUGAGGCGCGAAAGCUAGGGGAGCAAACGGGAUUAGAUACCCCGGUAGUCCUAGCCCUAAACGAUGAGCACUAGAUUGCAGACUAGUCAUGGGUUUGCAGUCGAAGCAAAAGUGUUAAGUGCUCCGCCUGGGGAGUAUGGUCGCAAGGCUGAAACUCAAAGGAAUUGAUCGGGGGCCCGCACAAG